CACUUUUAACACACUGUUCAAUUUGCCACAAUUCCCUACUCUCUGUUUUCACAUAGCAGUAUUUCUCUAUAAUAACACUGGUGUCUCUUUCUCCUUCCCUCUCUCUUAUCAGCAGCUUCUCAGGUGAGGAAUGAUUUAGCUGAAUGGUGAGUUUGGAAGGAGAAACCAUACACAUGCAGCUUUCCACUCUCUCAUUGGAGCUGCCUACCUGCCUAAAGUUGAAGAGUUUCUGGUCUGUUUCCCUGACCAUUCUGUAAGUUUGGUGGGUCACUGUGCCUGAGACUGGAUAGAAUGUUUAAAUCAGGGAAAUAUUAGCAAAUCCUAUGUCAUGCCCCCUGAAUUGGCUUUAUCACAAAGUUCACUGACAACAAGCCCUGCCUGUCUGCUCAAAGCCUUCAAUCAGCUGUUCAGCCUCUUAUUCUUAAACAUACGCCAACAACCAAAGUUCAGCAGAAACCUGAGAGAAAAUCUUUAUUGUGAUAGAGAUAAAACAUAAAUACAUACACAGUAAUACAGGGGGGAAAAGACUACAUAACAAAAUAGAAACCUGAAAACAAAGUAACUUACAAUCAUUACUAUCCUCAGAUGGAUCCUACAAGCUUCUAGAGGGGAAAACAAACAAAAACAAGAUAGGGCACAUAUAAAGGAACAAGAAUCAAACCAGCUUCAAGCCUUCUCAGUGGUCACAAUGGAAGCUGGAGACAACAGAGAAAUCCCUUCAAAUUUUUAACGGAAAACAACAGCCAGCUUGGAAUUUUAUAUCAUAGUAUUAUUUAAACCGAGAGCAGAAUUCAAGACAAUUUCCAGACAUUCAAGGACCCAUACUUCAUCUCCCAUAGAGCCUUUCUCAGGAAGCUGCUAAAUGUGCUUUACAUCAAAGAGAGUAAACCAAGAGACAUAAGAGUAGGGUAUAGAAAUAGAAAGAUCAUAGGACUCUUCAGGAAAAUAAAAACAAAAUCCAGGAUAACUGUACCAGGAGAAGAGAGUGGCCAGUUCAGAUUUGUGCAGAAUGACUCGAGACUUCAACAUAAUGCUUUCUUAUGUGGUACCAUAUUUUUAAAAAAAUCUGACGAUGCCUGAGUGAGCCUGACCUAAGUUGGCUUGCUGAUGCUCUAGCUCUUUCCUUCUGCUCCCUGGAUCUUUUAAGAACACACAAAUGUUCUGCUUUGACCUACUCCUGAGUGCUGAAGGAUAGCCACCAGAAGUUAAAAGUGGAAAAGCCUAAGCAGCCCUAUCCUCCUGAUUGUGUUACAGGCAGGUAUCUAGUUCUAGGUGCUGGCACAUCUUUCAAAAUAUUGGGUUGGCCAGAAAGUUGGUUUGGGUCUUUCUGUACUAUUGUAUGGAAAAAUCAAACGCUCUUUCCCACCAACCCAGUACAUAAAAUGUGGAUAACCCUAGGUUUCCCAGUAUUAGCUGAAUGACUUUCUCCAGAAAAGGUUUUGUAAAAUAUCAGAGAAAAUGAGGCCAGACCAUGACCCAGAGCCCAUUUUCAGCUUAUCUUCUUCUAGGACACCUCAUCAAAUAGUGGCAAUUCUGCCUUCUGAACACACAGUUACAUUUCUGCAUAAUACCCCACUUUUAAUCAUCGUCUAUACUCAUUCAUGGGCUUCCCUUGUAGUUCAGUCGGUAAAGAAUCUCCUUGCAAUGCAGGAGACAGGGUUUGAUUCCUGGGUUGGGAAGAUCCCCUGGAGAAGGAAAUGGCAACCCACUCUAGUAGCCUGGAGAAUCACAUGGACAGAGGAGCCUGGUAGGUUCCCGGGCCAUGGAGUCCCAAGAGUCGGACACAACUUAGCAACUAAACCACCAUACUCAUUUAUAUGUGUAUUUUUCAUAAAUCAUUUCAUUAAAAAAUAACAUCAAGUAGGAAUGCAAGAACAGCUCAAUAUCAGAAAUCAAUGUUAUUCUCUAUAUUACUAUAACUAAAGGUGAAAAAAAAAAAACACCUGAAC
ensembl:lncRNA